ensembl:lncRNA
GUUCUAACCUUUAGUUUGGGUUAGUGAAGAGUAAUAAAAGUGUGAGUAUUGAUGGAAUUGAAUAUACACCACAAGACAGGAACACAAUUACACCGUAAGACACAACAACCAGAACAAAAGAAAAAGAGAACAUGAAACAAAAACCAAGUCCACAAGGAGGAAGAAGCAAGAGAUGAAAAACAAACAUGUUUCAUACAGGGAUUAAAUAAUAAUUUAUUUAUUUAAAAAGUAUCAUUAUGUGGAAAGUUAAAUUGCUUUGGUUGUGUAGGAGCUCGCUCGUUUUCGGCUUUCUGAAAAGUGUCUAAAAAUAUGUAAAAGCCACACCCCCAAAAUUUACCUGCGGUUAGGGUUAGGGUUUUCAGGAAGAGCGACGGGUUUAACCGCAGUUAAAGUUUCUGCCGUCCUCUCUGAGGGGUACACCUCUCUACCUGCGUGAAGUUCACCCCACCCAAUGCAAAACGUCGGCAAAAUAGACUCAAUCGUUUGUGCUGGUUUGUGCUGCUAAAAAUUCCGUUUGUCCUGCUUCGGUUUUUAAAAUAUUAAACAUUCAUUUAUAUGCGAUGACGUCACCAGCCCCCCCACAUGCUCCAAAUUUACCCCAAAUAGGCUCAAUCGUUUGUGCCGCUAAAAGCUUCGUUUUUGCGACUGUCUUCUCUUUUUUUAAUUGUGUGUUUGUGUGUGUAUAUGUGUGUAUAUAUAACAACGCCGUUGAAGUACAUGGGGGAAAAAUUCAAACGGCAAACCAAAUCACAUUAAAUAGUCUUAAUUGUUACCUAUGCACUGCGCGUUUUCAAAUUUUAAGGGACACAGCGGAUCACAGGAUGUGUGAAAUGUAACCCGAACUCCAAGUGCUGUGUUUAUACAUAACUAAGCCAUGUAUGUGGAAACUCAUGACUCAAUGAAUUAAGAAUUAAGCCGAUAUGAUUUUACUUGUGAAACUGAAUUACUGUGUACUAUUGAACAUCCAUUAACACAAAUAAUGGACCUUUUUAAAAACUUAAACUUAAAAACACUUAAUACUU